rnacentral:pre_miRNA from 1 species
ACAACAUUCGGACCGUCGGUAUACCGAGCAAUUUGAUUCGCUUGGUGGAAGAUCUUCCCUUCGCUUU